rnacentral:rRNA from 1 species
AAGUAAAAGUCGUAACAAGGUCUCCGUUGGUGAACCAGCGGAGGGAUCAUUGC